rnacentral:rRNA from 1 species
UAGGGAAUCUUCCACAAUGGACGCAAGUCUGAUGGAGCAACGCCGCGUGAGUGAAGAAGGUUUUUCGGACCGUAAAGCUCUGUUGUUGGUGAAGAAGGAUAGAGGUAGUAACUGGCCUUUAUUUGACGGUAAUCAACCAGAAAGUCACGGCUAACUACGUGCCAGCAGCCGCGGUAAUCUAGGUGGCAAGCGUUGUCCGGAUUUAUUGGGCGUAAAGCGAGCGCAGGCGGAAGAAUAAGUCUGAUGUGAAAGCCCUCGGCUUAACCGAGGAAUUGCAUCGGAAACUGUUUUUCUUGAGUGCAGAAAGAGGAGAGUAGAACUCCAUGUGUAGCGGUGGAAUGCGUAGAUAUAUGGAAGAAUACCAGUGGCGAAGGCGGCUCUCUGGUCUGCAACUGACGCUGAGGCUCGAAAAGCAUGGGUAGCGAACAGGAUUAGAUACCU